rnacentral:rRNA from 1 species
UACGAAGGGUGCUAGCGUUGCUCGGAAUCACUGGGCGGAAAGGGUGCGUAGGCGGGUCUUUAAGUCAGGGGUGAAAUCCUGGAGCUCAACUCCAGAACUGCCUUUGAUACUGAAGAUCUUGAGUUCGGGAGAGGUGAGUGGAACUGCGAGUGUAGAGGUGAAAUUCGUAGAUAUUCGCAAGAACACCAGUGGCGAAGGCGGCUCACUGGCCCGAUACUGACGCUGAGGCACGAAAGCGUGGGGAGCAAACAGG